GGUUGUAUAGUGUAGCGGUUAUCACUCCGGAUUCUGAUCGCUCAGAGCAUUCCGGCAACCCCGGUUCGAUUCCGGGUACGACCU